rnacentral:rRNA from 1 species
CCUACGGGAGGCAGCAGUAAGGAAUAUUGGUCAAUGGUGGCAACACUGAACCAGCCAUGCCGCGUGCAGGAUGAAGGUUCUAUGAAUUGUAAACUGCUUUUAUACGGGAAAAAACUUUCGAACGUGUUCGAAACUGAUGGUACCGUAAGAAUAAGGAUCGGCUAACUUCGUGCCAGCAGCCGCGGUAAGACGAAGGAUCCAAGCGUUAUCCGGAUUUAUUGGGUUUAAAGGGUGCGUAGGUGGACUUGUAAGUCAGUGGCGAAAGCCCGAUGCUUAACAUCGGAACUGCCAUUGAUACUGCAAGUCUUGAAUAUGUUUGAAGUGGGCGGAAUGUGUCGUGUAGCGGUGAAAUGCUUAGAUAUGACACAGAACACCGAUUGCGAAGGCAGCUCACUAAACCAUUAUUGACACUGAGGCACGAAAGCGUGGGGAGCAAACAGGAUUAGAUACCCUGGUAGUCCACGCCCUAAACGUUGAAUACUCGAUGUGUGCGAUACACUGUACGCGUCCAAGAGAAAUCGUUAAGUAUUCCACCUGGGGAGUACGCUCGCAAGAGUGAAACUUAAAGGAAUUGACGG